ensembl:misc_RNA Metazoa_SRP Metazoan signal recognition particle RNA
GCCACGUGCGGUGGUGUGUGCCUGUAGUCCCAGCUACUCGGGAGGCUGAGGCUGGAGGAUCGCUUGAGCCCAGGAGUUCUGGGCUGCAGUGCGCUAUGCCUAUCGGGUGUCCACACGAAGUUCGGCAUCAAUAUGGUGACCUCCCGGGAGUGGGGGACCACCAGGUUGCCUAAGAAGGGGUGAACCAGCCCAGGUCAGAAAGAGAGCAGGUCAAAACUCUUGUGCUGAUCAGUAGUGGGGUUGCACCUGUGAAUAGCCACUGCACUCCAGCCUGGGCAACAUAGCGAGACCCUGUCUCU